rnacentral:lncRNA from 1 species
CAAAUGGAGAAUUGUGGAUUCUGCCUUGUAAUACCACAGAGCCAUGGGCAGCAGUGGGGUCACACAUACCCCGCCCCAGUCCUAGAGCAGCCCUUGGAGGAGGUGGAGAGCUCCCACUCUGCCCAUUGUUCAUGCCGUGGUGUUCCACUCUGCCCACAGGUCAAGAGUGUCCGGCGGAGGGACAAGAAGGCCAGUGUGCUCUUCAUUGAGGGCAACAUGAAUCCCAAGGGCCGAGGGUUAGUGAUCACUCUCAUAGUUAGGGCAUGGGCAGGAGUGGGAAACCUUUGUGGUCCCCCUGACUAGAGCUGCCGACAUGGUCCAAAGUCCACAGUGUCACUUGGUAUCUCAGCCAGAUGGCUAGAACUGGCAGCUAGGACACACUGUCCCUGCAUGCUGUACCAGAGCAGAGCUACCGCAGACCAUGGUUCUUAGAGAACUGCCUCUGGCCAGUCCUCGCCCACAUCAGCAGCACAGUGAGCUGGCCAGCCUGUUCACAGUGGCCUCAGAGCCCCUUCCGGUACCUUCCAGAGGUGACCUUGGGCACCUGUGUGCACCCAGGGUGGCUGGUUGGAGUAGGGACCUGGGCCCCCAGUGCUAUGGAGGUGCUCCAGUCUAAAGCAGGGUUAAGUCUCGGAGGAGGGUCCCUCUCCUGGGUUGAAGCCAUCUGUGCUCACCUUGGCCUCUGCUCUGUCAAGAAUCACCGUGUCGCUGCGACGGCUCAAGCACUUUGACUGCAAGGAAAAGCAUGCACUACUGGUAAGUGGGGCCAUGCUCUGUUGGCAUUGGGAGCUUUGCUCUGGGGUGUAUGUGUAUGUGUACACACGAGUAUGCACAUAUAUGUGUGUGAGUGCAUCUGUGUGUAUGUACAUAUGAACGGAUGUGAAGGUGUGUGUGUCUGAGGCAUCCCUGUGCAGGUCAGAGGACAGCCCGGUGUCAACUCCUUCCCCUUAUUCGAGGCUCUGUCACUGGCCCUUGUGUUUCUGUGGAUUCUCCCGUCGCCGAACCCUGUCUCAUCCUAGAAGAGGGCCAGCACUACCACAUCUGACUUUAUGUGGUUCUAGGGAUUUGAACUUGUUUUCCUGGAUAACCUUUGUCUCCCUGGCCAGUAAAAAUUAUUUUGUUCUAUUGACUCAAACCAAAAUCAGAUCAUGGAGUGACAGUCUACCCUGUGUAGUUAGGUGCGCAGCUCCUGCUUGUAGUCGUUGUGUCCGUCUCUCUGAGAGGCAGCCUUGGGAAACACCAAGGCGAAAGGCAGGUCUGCUUGCUGUGGACACACACCAGACGCAUCCACACCCAGGCAGUGAUGUGUGCAGGGUUAGGCUCUGACCCUCCCACACCCCCCAUGGGAAGGCACCACGUCUGCCUCUGGC